rnacentral:rRNA from 1 species
GACGAACGCUGGCGGCGUGCCUAAUACAUGCAAGUAGAACGCUGAAGAGAGGAGCUUGCUCUUCUUGGAUGGGUUGCGAACGGGUGAGUAACGCGUAGGUAACCUGCCUUGUAGCGGGGGAUAACUAUUGGAAACGAUAGCUAAUACCGCAUAACAAUGGAUGACUCAUGUCAUUUAUUUGAAAGGGGCAAAUGCUCCACUACAAGAUGGACCUGCGUUGUAUUAGCUAGUAGGUGAGGUAACGGCUCACCUAGGCGACGAUACAUAGCCGACCUGAGAGGGUGAUCGGCCACACUGGGACUGAGACACGGCCCAGACUCCUACGGGAGGCAGCAGUAGGGAAUCUUCGGCAAUGGGGGCAACCCUGACCGAGCAACGCCGCGUGAGUGAAGAAGGUUUUCGGAUCGUAAAGCUCUGUUGUAAGUCAAGAACGAGUGUGAGAGUGGAAAGUUCACACUGUGACGGUAGCUUACCAGAAAGGGACGGCUAACUACGUGCCAGCAGCCGCGGUAAUACGUAGGUCCCGAGCGUUGUCCGGAUUUAUUGGGCGUAAAGCGAGCGCAGGCAGUUUGAUAAGUUUGAAGUUAAAGGCUGUGGCUCAACCAUAGUUCGCUUUGGAAACUGUCAAACUUGAGUGCAGAAGGGGAGAGUGGAAUUCCAUGUGUAGCGGUGAAAUGCGUAGAUAUAUGGAGGAACACCGGUGGCGAAAGCGGCUCUCUGGUCUGUAACUGACGCUGAGGCUCGAAAGCGUGGGGGAGCGAACAGGG